rnacentral:lncRNA from 1 species
GGAACACGACAGGGGCCUCCCUGGGAACCUCUCAGGGCCUCUUUGUGUCGACUGGAUCUGUUGUUGGGUCUUUUGAAGAGAAGGCCUUGCAGCUGCGGCCGUGAACACUGGUGUCAAAGUCACCUUAGUGACUCGAUUGACCUUGUCUCCAGAACGUCAGUCCUGAAGAGACUCACUUCGCUCUGUGAAUCCCACUUGGAGAUGCUCUUGGGGAAUUAAUCCAGAAGAGAGGAGCGGCUCUGCACACUAAGGAGGAGUGUUGGCGUUCCUCACUUCUCCGCGGGUGGAGAGAUACACCAGCUGUGCCCGCUGUGGGAAGCUCUCUAUACACCUUCGUGCGACAGAACAGUGCAGCUGACAUCACCAGGACUGGAAGGACUAUGACACAAUAAGGCAGACGCAAAACUGCUCCUCUUGUAACAGUGUGGGGAUAUGCACCUUAGUGAGGCCGUGGUUUUACUCAGGCUGCAGAGCAUCCUCCUACCUCGAGAUGAAGGGCACAGGGAGACGGAGCACCAGGACUGCCGCCAGUGGGAACGCGCUGCACCCGCAGAGCACAGUGACUGAAACUGGUGAUGGGAAAGUAGCGCUUUGGAAGGCUGCUCACAGGCACUUUGUCCAGGAAGCGAGGGCCUUGCGUGCGGCCACACGGACUGCAAGCAGUUCCCAUCAGAUGCUCCACCGGACGGCCUGGGAGGAACGGCCCUGAGGGCUCCUGUUCCUGCGUGCACCCUUGACUCUUCCCCUGCCUCCGACACAAGGUACCCUGCGUGAGUGUAGGGGAAGCACGCCCACCAGCAGAACGGGCAGAAACCAUGACCCCACAGCUCCCCAGAGCUGGCCGGAUCCCUGCCCCUGCCUGCCCUGGCCCAGACCCGCCCAGCUGAGCACCAGUUGCUCGACCAAGCAGACCAGCGUUGGGCUGCGUGGGUCCUGGGCUGUGCAGGAGAGUGAACGGGCCUGGAGCAGGCGCCUGCCCCAUGUCCACAUCUCUGGAGGGCCACAGCCCAGAAGGCAGUGUUCUGCCUCCAGCCCUGGAGCCUCACGCCCGCUAUGUACGGACGGUCCUCACCUCCAGGGAGGGAGAGGUGGCAGGGGGCACUUUGUGGGUGUGACAGCAUUGGACCCAGACUCAGAAGACAGGGUACCUCUCCCAGCUGGACCCUAACUUGUCCUGGGUCCCAGGCUCUCCCCAACCUCGCUUUAGUCUCUUCACCUAAAGACAAAGGUGGGUGAGACAGGUGAGGGGCAUCAACCAGAAUAGGGCAUUUCACACUGCGGGUCGCAACCAGCUGCCUGCUGGGAAAGGCUUAACAACCGGCUGGAGAGAGCGGGGCUGUGUUGAGGCUGCUGGUCCCCGUGGUGCAGACGCUCUGAGCUGGGAAGAGACACAAAGGGCAGGUCAUUGAAAGGUGUUUCCGCCACACAAUAGACACUGAUAACCUCAAGAGCACGGGCCCCUAUAAUUUCAUAAACUUGGAAAGCUUAUACAAUUUAACUUAACAAUGGUUCUGUUAACAACCAAUCCUGACAAGUUACUGGUUGGAUCUGGCGAGCCAGUACCUCCAGCACACUAGUGGCUCACUAUGUAACUGAGGGGCCCGAAACCAAUUUUAAAAGUCAAAUAAACCAGAUUAGUUUAAGUGAAGCUAGAAUAGACUAUAAAAUCACAGCACGUUCCACCUAGUCAGGAUGAGUACUGUUUUGUAAAAUUUGUGUGAGGAUCAGGUCGUGACCUAAAAUGUAUUUACUUUUGUGGGUCUUUUAAUAGGAAGUUGGAGCCGUUCUGGAAGCUGGAAGCUGCUCUUCUGCCCGAUACUGGUUUGAGAGGCAGUCAGGAGGGCUCCACCCCUGUCAACAGGACAAAAGUCCCAGAGUCGAGAGCUCGGCUGGGCCACUUCCUGAGGGAGAUGCAGCUCCAUGAGGCCUGGAGGCUGAGGAGAGUCAGGAGGAGACGCUGGAGAGGAGGGCCCAGCGUGGCCCAGCCUGCCCUGCGGCUCCUGGGGCUGCAGGUGCCAGUCGCACCUUCAGGGCUGCGGUUGGGUGUCCUCCACGGCGCUUGCGAGGGGGACCUUGAGGUUUCUUCUGGCCUCGGCUUCCUCUCACAACAACAAGGGUUGGUUCCUCGAAGGGCAAGGUGAGUAAACACGAGGUCGCGCCCUUCCUGUGGGUAGCCACAUUGCAGCCUCCUAGGAGAGGAUGCGGCCCAUGUGCAGGUGCAGCAGGAACAGCAGGUCCACCCUAUGGUCUUUUAAAAACAUUUUUAUUUUGAGAUAAUUGCAGUUCUGCAUGCAAUCAUAAGGACUAACACAGAGAUGCCAUGUGCCCUCUACCCGGUGUCCUUCAGUGGUGGCAUCUUGCAGGGCUGCGGUGACUGUGGUAUCAGAUCACAGCUGGGAGACCACACAGACUCAGCCCACCCAUCUCACUCAGCUCACACUGGUUCUACAUGCAUUCGUGUGCAUGUCUUGAUCUGUGCAAUUCUAGCACACGUAUGGAUUCGUGUGGCCACCACCACUGCCAAGAUGGAACAUCUCUGUCCAACAGGGCCCUCCUGUGGACUCGUCACAGCCACAGCCACCUCCCCUCUUCCCUGGGCAGCACCGUCCACUCUCCAUCUCUACAAUUUGUUGUUCUAAGAAUGCUGUGUAAAUGGAGUCAUGCGGUGUGUGUGACAGGCUUUCCUCUCAGCCUGAGGCCGGCUGGGGUCGUGUGUCAGGAGCCUGUGGCCAUCUGUUGCUGAGCAGGGUGUGCUCAGUGUCCGCCUGUCGAAGGAAGGGGUGGAGGCUGCCUCUGUGCGGCUUCUCUCACAGGUGGUUCUGCGCGCUUGGUGUCGUCGGGGGCAUUUCUUCCUCCAGAGGGGAUCUCAGUGCGAACAUGGGCCCCCGUCACCUCGGGUCACCGAGGCCUCCCUGCAAGCACCCCAGAGAAGGACUGAAGAAGCACCACGUCACGUUUAGGGGGUGGAGGCCUGGCCAGGGAGCCACACUGAUGGCAUCCUGAGAUCCUGCGGCUGUGUCUGCCUCCCUGGUUCUCCCCCACUGAAAGCCAGGGCCAGGCUGUCACUCAGAGGGCGUGGGAGGAAAAGCCCUGGGGGCAGAGCGUGAAACGCCACCAGAACUGACCGCUUCUGGUUCUCUGUACUCUGGCCGGACUGCUGUUCCGCACACAGCCCGCCCCUCAUGGGCCCCACAGCCGCCGUCCCGUGUUACAGAUGGAGACGCAGAGAUGAUCAGGGAGAAGAGGGUGUUCACAUGGAACUACGUGGGAGGAAUAGGACCUAAUUUAAGUGGUGUGUCACACACUAGGUGUGGUAACAGCAGUGUCAGUCAAUCAUUUUCAUACGGUUAAAUGAGAUUUCUCAAUGCCCACAGGGGCCGUGUGGGCCCCAGCGCCCAGCUUUGCCCUCUGCCUCAUGCUGUCGCUGGCCCCCUCUGAGGCACAACCUGGCACAUUUCCUCUUCAGCAGCUGCCACCCUCCCUCCCUUCUGUGUCACCCACACCCCGGAAGCUGGGAGUAAUGACAGCCCAGCCUGCGUGAAGGGCGAGGGCAGUACUGGGCGGGGCCGUGACAGGUGGCUCUUCAGCCUCGAGGAGCCACCGAAGCCUCAAAAAUGGGCUCUCAGUGUCCCUGCAGUGCUGCCAUUGCACCUACACCUCGGAGCCCAGGUUGGCCUCCUCUGUCUCUGCUGCUGCACCGUUGUGAACUGAGCUCACACAGGAGGUAGAGAGCUGCGGGGUGGCAAGCACCCUGGUUCCUUGCUGGCCACCCCUGGGUGGGCGCGUGUGUUGUAUUUUUCUAAUGUUCCCACAGGAGCUCACAAGUGCGGCACACAUGCCAGGUGCUCAGUACGGGUCUGCUAAACAAAUGACUCGGUAGGCAGAGUAAGUCACCCACAUUGUAUGGCCGCUGUGUAAAACUGGGUACAAAUAUUCAUAAAACCUUGAAGGAAACAAACAGAAAUAAACAUACUUGUGUUGUGGUCUGGGCACACAAGUACGUCUUCCCCUUUGAAGUUUCUUUGCUCUUCUGUGGGUCUUGUAGUCUGAUGUUUGCUGAAGGACCAGCCUCCCAGGCUGCUGAGAAACCUUGCUCCUGGUUGCCAUGGUGCUGAGGACAGUUCGGGACCCGCUGCUGUGCACAUCACGUGGUUCCCUGGACAGGGGUCUGCGGGUCCCACGCAGGCUUCCCACGGCUCCCGGGCCCUUGCUCCCGUGGAGCCUGUGCCGUGAGAAUCGAGAGUCAGAGCAGAGUCUGCACAGCAAGUCCCAGCCCCAGUGGCGGGAAUCAGCUGCCUCUCUCCUUUGCCUCCUGGAUAAUUUGAUGGAGGUUCUAGAAGAAAAAAAAAAUACAUAGCUUCCUGUCAUAGCCAAGAAGAGAUUCUGAGUCUAGCAAUUGCUGAUUUCAAGAGUGUCUUCAAAAAGCACCUUGAUAUUUGGCUUAACAUUGUCAAAAGUAACAAGUUAAACUUUAUUAUGAUAAAAACCAAAUAGUUUGAGGGAAAAUUCUUCAUAAUCAGCAGUCGAGGUCUCAGCACCAUCGACUGUGUGGGGCGACGUUGCCCAUUGACUCCAACUGGCAGACCCACCAAUGCUAAUCAGCACCAGUGCAAACGCAGCCAUGGGGUUAUCGUGAGGGCAGGACAGGUGUGGGCUGUGCCAAUGGUUCCCAGAUCUUGCUGGCUUCAUACACAGAAUUUACUUCCCACUCUCAGGAAGAUGGCUGCAGACCCAGCCGCUUCCAGGCAGCCUCCUGCAGGCCGCUACCAGGGCCAGGCCACCCCAGCUUCUCUCUGGGUUUCAGAACGAGGCCUCCAUCCGCAGUGGGAGAGACACUGGGGACACUCGGGCACUCAGCUUCGCCAGAGCGAUGGUGCGCUCUCAUGUCUCCAAGCACACAGCUCUGCGCUGGAUGCGAGCAGGGAGGCAGUGCAGCCCCCACCCUCCAGCGAUGGGCGCACCAGUGAGGCCUUCCGCUGCCCUCCUUCAGUGGACAGGUGGAGUGUGGCUGCAUGGUGCCCUCGCCCCCAGAGUACUGGGCCUCCUGUGCACAAGCAGUGGCAGCUUCAUGUGGAUGCGGCCACUAUUCAGCUUCUCCCCUCUGCGUAGCCCAAACAGCUAAUACGCAGAAAGCUUACCGAGGGUGUGCUGUGACUCAUCUCUCUGGACUUUGCGCACUUCCUCUCCAAGCUGUCGGUCGCUGCAGAGCCCCAUUCUUUGACGCCCAGGUGUCUGAAUAGAUUGUAUCAGAAUUCUGAUUGAAUGUUAUAUUCCCAGCUUUUUUGUGAGACAACAGGAGAAACCACCACACUCAUUCCACAGGUACUAGUUGAGAUUUUACUAUGUGCCAGGCACUGAAGCACAGCAGCAAAGGUGAGUCACUGAGACUGCAAACGUCCUUUUAGGGGAGUGCAGAAGAGAAUUCUGUCAAAGAGAGAAAAGGUAACAGUGAGUUAUAAUACAGAAGGGAUUAGAGGUUCUUUCUAUGACGUUGUCGCCUUCUCCUUUAAUCCCUCAAUAUUUUCCUCUCUUAUUAUCACAGCUCUAGGGGAACAGAUUCUAAGUCAGAAAAUGAAUGAUCAAUUCCUCUGUGCAGAAUGCGGAUCUGAGGAGGCACAGUGCUUGCACAGCUCUGUGGAGGCUGAGUGUGUUGAGGGAGGGGUCCUGGAAACUGCUGCACAGGGAAAGAGAGGCCCGUGCUCACAAGGCACCUUGCCCACUGAUGGGGGAGCCCUGAGUCUUCAUAGAUUUGUUUCCUCCCUCUGAGCAUAUGUGUCUCAGAGCACUGAUGUGUUAUCAAAGCCUCCAAUGAACUGCCAACUUCUUGCUCAUCUGGCCCGAUCAGUACAGCAAACCAAGUCAAUGUUGUGCAAACACCCAGGUAGUCAGCUGUCUGGACUAUAUUCUGACUGAGGGCAGGAAAGCCCAACGAUGGCGCGAGGUCAUAAGUGUGCUAGUCUGUGAUGUGUGGUGUAAACUGCUUCUGAAUCUCCUGACUUGGGAUGGAGAAGAGUGGAUUUGUCAGCUCCAUGGCCGGACGCCACAGGCCAGAGGCUGUGCUGAUGUGGCCUGGCAGUGGCACCACACCUGGCACAGCAGUGCAAUGGAGGCUCCUGUGUGGUUGAGUUUGUGGUGGUCUACCGUCAUCCUCCAGAGCCCAUCUGGGGUCAGUGGUGGGACUGGUGAGUUAAAUGACCCUCUAGGUCUUUAAGGGCAGCCUCCAUCUCUGUCUUUCCCCCAGGAUGCAUCACUGUUCGUGAUUUUCCAUCUCGGCUGCCUCUCGGCCUUCCCUGCUUGGGUGGCUCUUAACCCACAACCAAGGAACCCAGACCCUGAGCUUCUCCAGCUGCGUGACACUGAUGUCGUGGAGGAGCAGAGCUGGAGCAGAUCACUGGGGAAUCCGUGUCGUCAUACAGACAUCUCUGCGUCAUGUUCCAGCACAGAUAGAGCAUUUGCCUUCAACAGGGAGAAGAAGGACACCUCUUCGGGUCCAGAAGAUGUAGGGAAACCUGAGGUUCAAGAAUUUGAGUGUAUUGAUCAGAUGACCCUCCCUGAAGCCUCAGGGUCUCCCUUCUUCCCAACCAGGUCCUGACAUUGGGCAGCAGCCUCCCUUGGGUUGAGGGCUGCUGUCUUUAGGACUGAGUCUUGAUCCACGGCUCUUUUUGGUUCUCUGGCUGCAGGAGAGGAGAGUGUCUAUAUGGCACCAAGGAAGCCCUCUUUUUGUCACUUUUUUUUAAAAUUGGAGAUCUUUUCAUUGCCUUGUUCUUGGCAAGAGCUGCCUGAUUCCGUAAUGCAGAUGGUUGCUGCUCUUCCCAGCCACUCCGAUGCCCUGGAUGCGGCACCCAGCAGUGUGUUUCUUUCAUUGGGCUUCCACCCUGGCUCAGUGCUACUACUGCCUGGCAGGGCUGUGGUGCCACCAGUGAUGUGCCACUUGGCAUUCUGUGCUCAACCCCACCAUACAGGCUGCUCCUGGAACACUUCUGGCCCCACCAUCUUCUGCUGGGCUCCCCUGGACACAAACUCUGAAGCAGAGGUUUGUGUGCAAGAGGUUAUUGGGAGUGUUCUCGGAAGAAAAGUCCUGUGAGCGUGGGAGGGAAGAAGGAUCGGGCAGAGGAGUAUCUUGACCACUGUGCAGGUCUGUGGGGCCUCGGCUGACCCUCUGAGAUGCUCAGCAGCUGGGGCUGCUGGUUAGUUGUCUUGAUGGAGGCAGAGCCUUGGUCUUGGGGACUGGGGGCAUCUGGAUGGCGCACGACAGCACACCCUACAGAAGCCUCUGAGGUCUCAGAGUUAGAGGCAGCAACGGUGGAGUUUGAGCCAAGGAAAAGCUGCUGUCCUAACUUGCAUGUUAAACUCGCAGUAAACACCAUGUAUGGAGGUCUUGACGGGAUGAAGUCAAGCAGGUGACGAGGACCUGGAAGGAGACUCAGGUAGCCACGGUGAAGAAUGCUUAGUAACCCUUUUCACGUGUACCUAAGCCUUUUUUUUUAGGAAAUGAGGAUAAAACAGUGAAAAACCAGGCCUUGUCUUCAGGAAGCUUGUGUUCUGGUGUGUGCAGGGUGUGUGUGGGCUACCCAGAUGGGGGAGGGGGGAAGUCAGGGGAGACACAGACCAUACCUGAGGCAAGGAAGGAACCCCACAGAGGCCUGAGGGUCAGGAGGGCAGACCCAGGGCACUUGGCUUGUGUGAGCAGCCACUGCGCUGGGAGCUAGGGCAGCCUGGGAGCCAGGGUGGCCAAGGCCAGUGGACAGCAGAGGAGCAGGAGGGCAGAUGGCAGGCAUGGGGAGCUGAGGCUGACACGCAGAACCUCCAGACUGCGUGCUUCUCCAGACCCCAUGGCUGCCCUGUCUCUCAGGUCACCUCCUGCUUCUCCAUCCCCUGCAGCUGGCCUUCUCUGGACCACUGCGAAGG